rnacentral:lncRNA from 1 species
AUAUGGCUGCUCCCUCGAGGAUGACAUCGUAUCUGACACAUCCUCCAUGUUUCGAAGGGUCCUCGUGUCCCUCGCAACGGGAAACAGAGAUGAGGGAACGUAUGUGGAUGAUGCCCUUGCUCAGCAAGAUGCCCAGUGCCUGUACGAAGCGGGGGAGAAGAAAUGGGGAACCGAUGAGGUGCAGUUUAUGUCCAUCCUCUGUACACGGAACAGGUAUCACCUCCUGAGAGGUAGGACCCCUCUGCCAUGCCCUGGGUUUUUCUUUCCUUCCUUGUUUGUGUGUGAUGCUUUUGUGGGAGCUUCAUUGGUGUUCAGUAAGUGCAAACUCUUCUGAGACAUCAGAUGUCCUCAAG